GCAGCCCGUGCAAGUGCCUCACCACUCCUUCUGAGAGGAAAUGUUUCCUAAUCUCCAACCUGAACCUCUCCUUGCGCAACUUGAGGCCAUUCCUUUUUGUCCUAUUGCUAGUUACAAGGGAGAAGAGGUUGACCCCCACGUCACCACAACCUCCUUUCAGGCAGUUGUAGAGAACGAUAAGGUCUCCCCUGAGCCUCCUCUUCUCCACACUGAACAAUCCCAGUUCCCUCAGCUGCUCCCCAUAAGGCCUGCGCUCCAGACCCUUCACAGUUUCAUUGCCCUUCUCUGCAUGCACUCCAGGGCCUCAAUGUCUUUCUUGUAGUGAGGGGCCCAAAACCGAGCACAAUAUUUGAGGUGCAGCCCCACCAGUGCCAAAUGCAAAGGGAUUCUUCCUUGGAGGAUGCUGGUAAGACAAAUUAUUUCACUUACAGCACCUGUGAUUUGAUAAAACUCUGAUAAAAUUAAUACAGGGAAGUGCUUUAUUAAGAUCAGGAUAAGCUUUAUCGAAAGCCAGUGCUUCACACCUAGUCCACCUCUCCUGGUAGCUCAGGCUAUUGCAACAGUGCUGGACCAUGGGCAGCUGCUUGCUGCCCUGGCUGGCUCCCAGAGAGCUUGUGAGGGCUUUUCAGAGUUCCCAGUUUGAAGGAAAUGUGGAAAUUUUUAGCCCUAAUUAAAAAACAUUGACCUUUUAUGAAUUUGCAAAGACACCACAAAUACGAACUCCCAGAGGAACUCCCAUUUGGCUUUGGAAUCGUCAUGUGAGAAGUGCUGGCAAGCCAGCAGGGGAUUUUUGCUGUGAGAGUGGUCAGCUCCUGGCACAGCCUCGCAGAGAGGCUGUGGGGUGUCCAUCCAUGGGGACACCCAGCUGGACACGGCUCUGGCUGAGCCUGCUCCACGGAGGACGGAGUUAGGAUACGCCUGCCUGGUUGUGCCUGCCAGCAGCAGUGAUUCUAGGGGUCAGUGGUGACAGCAAAAGGGCUGAUUUCUGCAGGAAGACUAAAAGCUUCUCUUUGACCGUCAAUUUUAGCUGCACAUUCACGGACAGGAAGCAAUGUCUUUCGGCUGAGUGGCUUUCCCCAGCUGACAAGAAGACAGCCUGGACCAGAGCAAGAAAAGCUGCAUACUCAGGAAUGAGGGCUGCAGCAGAAAUAGGCUGCCAGUGAGACUGGCCAUGUUUUAUGGCCAUCCAUGUGGCCACAGGGAAACUAUGAUAUCCCAUGUGCAACUCAGGGUAAAUUUAUCUGAAGAACGACUUGCAAAAAGUCAGAAUUUGAGUGGAAAGUAAAGGGUAAAAACGGCAGAAAUCCGAAUGCUCAUUCUCAGCACUUGCUGCUAGGAGUGGGUAGAAGCCUGUCCUCUGGGCACAUCAGCGAGUGAUUUCAGUUCCUGCAUUCUCUCCAGACAGCUGGUACCAGGCUUGUGACUUGACGUGCCAGCACAUGCUUGGUGCCCUUGUUUUCUGCCUCUCUUUUUCUUCCCUCUCUCCAGUGUGAAAUCCAUCUCCAGCUUUCCUUGUCAUUGCAAUGAAUGGAAUUCUGCAGCCAUGUGCAAAUACUGUCUCUGCAGCAGUGUAAGAAGGGAUAUGAGGUGCCAGGACUCAUCCCACCGUUGAGAGGAGGUUUCCGUUUCUGACUGCUGUUGGCAAAAGACAGAUGUGCAAUACACAAAGCAAGAGAUGACAUUUCCUUGUUCAGAAUGUGUGUCACCAUUUGCAUUGGGCAGUUGCUGAACCCAUUCCCAGCUCAUGACUGCCAGCCUUGGUGCCCCCAUGUUGCUCCUGGAUCCACAGAGUGGAAAGACCAGACCCCAAACCUAUUGAGAAGAUAGAUGGAUUUCAGUGAGGCUCGAGGAGCUGCAGAGAGGUUCUGGGUACAGGAAAUUGGCAAAAUUGAUGAGGAGCUGGGAGGAGUUUGAGAAGUUUCCAGGUCCAAUCUCCUGCUGGAGGGAGGAUGCUGAGAAGUGCAGCUGACAGAUGGGUGUGUUUGCAGCCAACCUUCCUGCGGUGCCCUGGUGAUGUGCGGUGCAGCGUGGUGGAAAAGCACCAUUCAUGAAACCAGCUGUAAACCAGAGCACUGAAAGUGAGUUGUGCUCAGACCAGCUCUGCCAAGCUGGAUAUCUGCAUUGCUUAUAAAACCAGAAUUCAAUUUAUACUUGGAAUUCCAGAAUGUCAUCAGGUAGCAAAUAACAACGUGGUCCCAAAUCCUCAUUCCUCCUUGUCACACAGAGAUAGGGGAGGAUGUUGUAUUGCCCCUUGAUGCUCUGGG